AUGCAGCUAUAUAAUCCAGAGGUUGGAGUACCAAUAGGAAAUGAAAACAAAUGCUUUGUACUACGAGCAGCCUUUGAAGGUGACCAGAUAACUGUCUUCACUGUGACCAGUCAGAGCCCCUGCUUGCUUGUGAAGAAGGAGCUUUUGUGCGUUACUGGAGAUGCCACCUCAGAAGUUCACACUGUGCAGGAAAAAGGUUUUAUUCUCUUCUGGCAUACGUUAGAAUGUCAGAUGCCUGCAUCUGUGUGGACCGCAAUGGGCCUCUCAAAUUUGGUGGGCAGGGGGUUGCUUACGAGUUUUCUUUGAAAGCUGAUUUUACUCCUGGACAUAAUAAAUGCCCCUUGAGCCUUGUGAGAUACAAAUGCACAUGGAUAAAAUGUGAGAGAGUGGAAUUUGACAGAGGAUUCCAGGAAGAGGCCCCCGUGUCUAUGCAGUCCUGGUUCCAGACAGGUGAGAAGCUCCAGGAACUACUGGCUACCUUGACAAACUGGGUAAUUAGUUAUUCUAGGCAACUGGUGGAAACUUCUGACUUUUGGACAAGUAACUACUUUGGUAGCAUCACCAGGGAUGUCUGAGUGGGACAGACAAAGGACACACAGCUGCCGUUUCUCUCCUGCCAGCAUGUUUGGCGCACUAGGUUAAGCUAUACUCAGCAAUCUAGGAAAUGUAACCCUUCUCAAAACUGGCCAUUUUCAGGGGAAUCUUGGGAGAGCAAUAGCAUGGUGAGCCUCUUACGGAUGAGGACCCGCUCCACCUUGGAGAAUCCUGCCUUCAGAUGCCUUCCCAGUGUUCACCCCAUCUAGUAAGAUUGUAUUUCCAGUACACUUCCUUAGGGUGGAAACACCAUCCUGUCAGUUUUGGUCAGUCCCUUCUUCAUGAAGAGUCAUGGUGAAUUCCUGAAAAUGUUCUUCCUUCUACAGACAGGUGGAGGGGGACCCUAGAGAAGGCAUCCAGAGACAUAACCCAACUGAAUAUCACCCCCAUGUAGAUUUUAGGAAUUGACUCUAAAACUCUGUGCAGAAUCUUGUGUUGGGAUUGUAUCUUGACAUUCCUGUUAUGUUGUUUUUCUUAACUGGAGUGUGUGCUGCCUUUCAGGUACAAUUUUUGUGUAAUAAAAGCCAGUGCAUUUAGUUUAUAUAGACUACUUUCUAUGCAAGACCGAGAUAUGGAAUAGAUAGCAAGCAGGAGAUAUGUACUGUUGGGUACAUGGACAAUAAGUAUGUUUUCAGAUGGAAUACCAGCACCGAAAACAGGUUGAGGGAGGAUGGGUUGUAUAUAUGUUUCUGCCCACUAAUUUUGAGCAGCCAUGUUAUGAAUUAAAUCAUCACUGACAAGUAAUAACCCAAGAAUGGUAUUAGUUUCAUGUGUAAUAGCUCAAAUGGAAUAAGCAUGAAUGCUGGAGUGGAACAUUAUCCUCAGAUAUUCUAUGUCAUUUUUCAUUUAAAGACUCUUGUUAUGAACUAUUAGAAACUUUAGGCAAAAUCAAAAGUAUUCGCAGCAAAAUAAAGGCCUACUCUGCUCUUAUUUAAAGUGAAACACUGUAUACUUGUUUCGCUCCAAAGUGAAAUUAGGUAUUUAUAAUUUCAAUUGCCUUGAUAAGUUUCCAAGUCACUGAUUUCUGCUGAAGGUUUUACUAUAUUGUUGCACAAUUUUAAGAUAAUUUUUGUCUCAAUGUCAACUUUUUUCACUGAAUAAAAAUUUAACUGGGUCAAGAAAACACCUAUUUGAAAA